UGCAUCUCUUCGCCCCUUCCUUCUCCCCCUCGCCGCGCUCUCGCGUUCGAUCGAUCGUCAGGUGGAGGAGAUUAGUGAGAAGAAGGGGAGAAAUCGAUCGUCUGUCGUGGGAUUUCGAGGUCCCACGUCGCUGUAUCCGAUGGUUUCGGUCGCACGAAUUGAUGGAUUCCGAUCUCUGGAUCUCUCGCCUCGGCGUUGCCAAACAGUCACUACUCAAUCCAGCACCGGAAAAACAUCCAACCGGGUUAUUCUCCGAUCAUACCUUCGUUUGUCCGCUUCUUUUCUUUUUGAUUUUGUCGGUCUUUGUUAUGGAAAUCGUGGGCAAUUGUGUGUUUGGUUGGGAAUCGCUCGUGUUUGAUGGGAAUCGAGUGUAGCCGUGCCGUUUGACGACUUGAAGAUUGGAUUUUGCCAGACCAGUGGAGCACGGAUUAGUUCGAACAGCUUUUGAGAACAUUUGGAUCUGUGGUAUCAUUUGGCAUUAUAUGUGAUGGAACUCUUAUUUCCCUAAUUUCUUAAGUUGAAGUUACUAGAACAGAUUGAAUGCUACAUGUUCAUCAUUCAUUUUGAACAGUUAUGAGCCUACUUAUGUAAAUCUGACUUCCUUGGUAGGGCAUUAUAUAAAAUUUGGGUCCUUUCAGGGUCAAAAUUUGCAUCAAAUAUGGAUGUUUUGUCAUCUUCACUCGUCCAUGAGGAACCCUAUCCUAGACAAAAUCUGUCCCAUAGUGCAUUAAGCCAAAAUGGAGGGUCCAUAGUGUAGCUCUGGUACCAUUUUAACAGCCUGAGUUGUUAGUAUAACUUGUAUGGAAUGGGCCUACUAACAUGGUCCAAAAGUAUUAGUUCUCUGUGACUAAAAUAAUUCACAGCUUUACAGACGUCUAUUCUUUCUUCUUGUGCCUAUACUGCUCCUCAAGGAUUUUGGAUUACAUGGUACUUAAUGUACUUUAGAGGACACCAUUUUCUUGCUUGAUAUCUCUUGGAUUUUCUUUGGACAAAACAUCGAUUGUUGGCUUGAUGCCCUUUCAUCAGGCUGGUAUUGCAUAUUUCAUGACAAAGAAUUAAUCUCCGUCUCAAACUUUAAAGUGCCAAAAAAAGGGUGUGCCGUUAGAUGAUUAUUGUUUAUAAUUGAUCAAAACAGACUUGCCUGAUCUAAUUUGAUCAAAACAGACUAGCUUUGAGAAACAAGAAGGAUUACCACAAGAAAGGUGCAUGUUGACGUAUUAUCAUGUCUACAAGGUAGCUUUUAAGAGAAAAGGUAUAAGACAUUUGAAGGGAAAUUCAUAAUAGGAAAAUGACAGCUGGAGGAAUAAUUUGGUGAUGCUCUGGAAUGAAGCAAGUUGAGAUUAUAGAAGAAGUUGUAUGGAUUUCUAACAGGUGAUUAAAUGACAAUAAAGAGAAGGAACUCAAAUGUUGUACAUAUCAGUCAAAACUGUUUUGUUAUAUUAUUUUGACAUUAUUAUUGAUAUUUGUAUAAUGCAGUGAGCAGUCAGAUGUUGUCUUUUUGUGCUGACCAACAAUGGAGUUGAAGAUGUAUUGUCCUGUUCAUUCAAGUGAACCGUUGACUUGUCGAUUAUGCAAUAUACUCACCAUUUUGGUAGAUCAUUCUUGUUUCUUGAAACUGUAGUUUAACUUUUACCUUUUGAAGUUGUUAAUUACUAAACAGUAGCUCAGCUAUGUUGUGUAUGCAGAUUUCUAUGAGAGCAUAAAAGGGAGAUUGAGAAAGAAGUCUUGUUUUUAUUACCACUUACUCAAUGGUUACAAAUGCACUUGAAAUUGCGUGUGCCAAAACCAGCUAUCAAGGAUCCAUGGAGUGAUGCUGUGGGUCUGGUCCUCCCGGAAUCGUGCGUUUUGAUGCAUAUGCUGCUGUCGCCACCAUCUGCCCCCGGAUUGGCCCGAUUACGAAUGCAAACUCCCCAUUGGUUGCCAUCCAUCGGCUGAUCACUCGAGGUUCAGAAGUGUGCAUGGAGGAGACAACCAAUGUGAUGCAAAGACAAAGUCCCAGGAUCAGCCUCACCAUGUAUCCUCCUUGUCACAACUCCUUUCACUACCAAGUAUCAAGAGUUGCUAAGGCCUCUGGCUUUAUAGAACACUCGAAGGAGUUCAGAUUUUAUAUACAGCGGCAAAGUGGAUGCUUGCUACUCUACAGUGCUUGUCUUCUUGCCUACCACUAUCAUUGGUUGGCAAUGAAGAAGGAUGCUGCAACUCUUCUUCAAGGGGCAUCUAUCUUCCUUGGAGCACAUAGGGGUUCGUAGGAGUUCAUAGACAGGCUAGAGGAGUAAUCUGUCUCCGGCUCAGUCCAAAAUCAUGUUGCCACGGUGACUGGUUCUACUCGGCACAACAGAACAGGAUGAUUUGGCCCUACCAGUUUACUGCUAACUAGAAACAAAUGGAGUAGAUAAUGCAAGAAGUUUUCAUAUGUUCUUGAGGUCAGUGACCGAACAACUUGAACAAGAAAACAAAAUCUGCAGCCUCAACUACAUUUGCUCUUAGUGGCAGUGGUGUCCAUGGCGAAUGGUCAACCAUGAUGGUGGUGCCUAGUCGUAAAGAGUACCUCAACACAGCAUGAUAAGGCUUUUUCAGCGAAUUUGGUGACACCAUAUUGUAUGUUUAUUAUAUGUGGUGGAAGAUGAUCCCAGAAUAAGAUCUUGGAAAGGUGACGACUGUAGCAAGUUGUGGAUUCUGGUGCUGUUAAAGAUCUAAAGAGAGUAUGCAUAUCUCCAUAUCAAUCAGGCCAAAGAAAAGUGCUGAAUGGAAACAUCAGCUUCUGCACCCAGUGCUGAAAAAGGCCAUGAAGGAAAGAAAAGUGCUGAAUGAAUUCAUCGGCUUCUGCACCCAUUGUUGAAAGAGGCCAUGAAAGACCAAAUGAAGCCUUUUGCAAGAAGUCACAGCGUACAAAGUGUCUUUUUCAAUGGAACAGCGUGGAACUCCAUGAUUGACAGGUCUUCUACAAAGUCGUAUUGUCAAGCUUAAGAAGUGAAAGCUACCGAGGAGAAAUAAUCCUUCAGAUUUAAGAAAAAUAAUUUCUCGCCAAGUUUUAUGUCACUCAGAUAUCUAGUCCUUCGGGCAUUGGAAAAUUUGAUGUACUUGUGUACGUAGAACACACUUCCUUGCCAAAAAAGAAGGGUUUGACAAUGAAAAUUGGCCAUCAAGUAAAAGGAUUUUUGUCAUUAUUUUGACAUUUAGAGACAAUAUUUUGUCAUUAAUGAUUGAUUAUGUUAUUUAGAUUCCAAGAACUGAGAUUAAUAUCCUUAAUUAGAGACUGUAAUUCUUAAGUUGUAUAAAGGAAAAGCCAAAUCCAAA